ensembl:lncRNA
AGGCCCAGUACCCACAAUACAGCUGUUCUACCACAGGUAGGCCCAGUACCCACAAUACAGCUGUUCUACCACAGGUAGAACUGGGGUCGAGCUGCUCUACAACAGGUAGAACUGGGGUCGAGCUGACAAGGUCAAAAAUCUUAGGUAUCCCCUUUUUCUUUCCCACGUUCCCUAAUAAAAGGCGGAUGUACGUUUUCCAAUGUCCUCAUAGUGCUUCACAUUGUAACUCCCCUCGUCCACUACUGUCCCUGUUCUGCCCCUGUCACCCACUCACAUCUUGUGUCUUUAAAAAAAAAAAAAAAAUUAUAAUGAGUAGAGUUAGUCUUGGCCUGGGAGUUACUGAUAAGCGGACUUAAUCUUGUUCUUAUCGACACAGGGAGACUGAAUACGCCACACCCUACAUCCCAUACUUUUGUAAAGCACUGUGUUAAACUGUUGAAUGGCUAUGUAAACACAUGACUGUAAUCAGAAAUACAAUGUAGAUUUAUUACUAUUUAUUUUCUUAAUGGAAUAUCUACGUAGGCGUACAGAGGCCCAUUUAUCAGCAACCAUCAC